ACUGCAUGAUUUCACUUUUAUGUGGUCUCUAAAGUAGCUAAAUUCAUAGAAACAGAAAUUAAAACAGUGGCUGCCAGGGCCUGGGGGGAGGGGGAAAUGGGGAGUUGUUUAAUGGGUAUAGAGUUUGAGUUUUGCAGGACUUAAAAAGUUCUGGACAUUGGUUGCACUUCAAUAUGAAUAUACUUAACACUGCUGAACUUUAGAAUGAUUAAAAUGGUAAAUUUUACGUUACAUGCUGUUUUUUUUACCACAACUAAAUAUUUUUUAAAAACUUAAAAUUUAGCUUGUCAGUCUCAGUAGCCACUUUCCAAGUGCUCACUGUGGCCAGUCACUACUGAAUUCCACAGUGCAGCUCCAGGGUAUAAAUGACUCUGAGCAUCAUUUGAAAACAGAAUUCUGUUUCUUCAGGACAAACUAAAACACUUUUUCAUUUCUUCAGUUUUCCUUAAAAUACUAUAUGUACGUCUUAAUUGGAAACUGACAUAAAGCUUUACUUCCAACCUUAAUGGAGAAGGAAGGAUUUGUAUUGUGAAGGAAGGGAAUCUCUUUGUCAUUUUGCCUGGGAUCACAGGAAAAACUCUUUGAAAAUAAUCUUUUCUCAAGUGCCACAAAAAAGGCAUUUGCAUUUUCUAGACAAGAGUUCACUAAUGCAAAAUUCUUCCAAGCCAAUCAAAUGCAUUUAAGAAAUAACAUCCUGGCACAAGGCACUUCUGGGGAUUAAUAACCGGGGGCAGAGGCAUGCACUGCCCAGGGCACAGCCGGAGGCCAUUCACCUUGCUCAAGGAUCAAGAAACCCUAGAA
rnacentral:lncRNA from 1 species